GCUGGCGCUGCCUAAACAUGCAAGUCGAACGAGAAAUUGGGAGCAAUCCCAUGAGUAAAGUGGCGCACGGGUGAGUAACACGUGACUAACCUACCUCCGAGUGGGGAAUAACCCCGGGAAACCGGGGCUAACACCGCAUAACACCGCAAGGUCAAAUGCGUAAGCAGCUUGGAGAGGGGGUCGCGGUUGAUUAGCUAGUUGGUAGGGUAAUGGCCUACCAAGGCAAUGAUCAAUAGCCGGCCUGAGAGGGCGCACGGCCACACUGGAACUGAAACACGGUCCAGACUCCUACGGGAGGCAGCAGUGGGGAAUUUUGCGCAAUGGGGGAAACCCUGACGCAGCAAUGCCGCGUGGAGGAUGAAGUCCUUUGGGAUGUAAACUCCUUUCGAUCGGGAAGAUAAUGACGGUACCGGAAGAAGAAGCCCCGGCUAACUCUGUGCCAGCAGCCGCGGUAAUACAGAGGGGGCAAGCGUUGUUCGGAAUUAUUGGGCGUAAAGGGCGCGUAGGCGGUGCGGUAAGUCACUUGUGAAAUCUCUGGGCUCAACUCAGAGUCUGCAGGCGAAACUGCCGUGCUUGAGUGUGGGAGAGGUAUGUGGAAUUCCCGGUGUAGCGGUGAAAUGCGUAGAUAUCGGGAGGAACACCUGUGGCGAAAGCGGCAUACUGGACCACAACUGACGCUGAGGCGCGAAAGCUAGGGGAGCAAACAGGAUUAGAUACCCUGGUAGUCCUAGCCCUAAACUAUGGAUGCUUGGUGUAGCAGGUACCCAAUCCUGCUGUGCCGGAGCUAACGCGUUAAGCAUCCCGCCUGGGGAGUACGGUCGCAGGCUGAACUCAAAGGAAUUGACGGGGCC
rnacentral:rRNA from 1 species